GACGAACGCUGGCGGCGUGCUUAACACAUGCAAGUCGAACGCUGAAGCUCAGCUUUUGUUGGGUGGAUGAGUGGCGAACGGGUGAGUAACACGUGAGUAACCUGCCCCCUUCUUUGGGAUAACGCCCGGAAACGGGUGCUAAUACUGGAUAUUCACUGGUCUUCGCAUGGGGGUCGGUGGAAAGGGUUUUUCUGGUGGGGGAUGGGCUCGCGGCCUAUCAGCUUGUUGGUGGGGUGAUGGCCUACCAAGGCUUUGACGGGUAGCCGGCCUGAGAGGGUGACCGGUCACAUUGGGACUGAGAUACGGCCCAGACUCCUACGGGAGGCAGCAGUGGGGAAUAUUGCACAAUGGGCGCAAGCCUGAUGCAGCGACGCCGCGUGAGGGAUGGAGGCCUUCGGGUUGUGAACCUCUUUCGCUCAUGGUCAAGCCGCAACAAUGGUUGUGGUGAGGGUAGUGGGUAAAGAAGCGCCGGCUAACUACGUG
rnacentral:rRNA from 1 species